CUCGGACCUUGUACACACCGCCCGUCACGCCACGAAAGUUGUUUGUACCCGAAAUCGUUUUAGCUAACCUGUAAAGGAGGCGGACGCUGAAGGUAUGGGGAAUGAUUGGGGUG
rnacentral:rRNA from 1 species